rnacentral:lncRNA from 1 species
UUUGACAGCUUCUCAGGGUGGAACUUUUGAAAUACGAGGCAGUAGACUGCCCAGUCGUUCCUAUGGAGUUCAUCAUCAGCCUCACAGGUGACCUAGUGUUCUUUUUGGGGCAGCUGCUGAUGUUUGUGCAUUCCAUGAGCUGACACAGAGGGACAGAGGUCCCUUUUACCAUUUGGUAUCUUCAGUCAAUGGAGUAAGAAAGUUGUCUGAUACCCAAAUCUGAAGGCUAUUAAGAGUGAGAAUUGAGAAUCUGACUCUAUCACACUGAUAAAGAAUUGAGCAGAAUUCUAGGACUGAAUAUUGACCCAGAAACUAUAACUUGGCAGAGAGCAUUUGAAUCCCAGUGAUAGACUUUGGAGGCAGAUCACCUUUGGAGAGUGGUGACUCACACUGAUGUCUCCAUGGUGAGUGAAAUCGUGAGUGUUCUGUCUUUCAACAGAGAGACUGAGGAAAAUGGCGGUGCUAUCUAAUGAGAACGGGGAUGCUACCAGUGCUGAAGAUCUGGGUGUGAGUGGUGCCUUGACAAGUGCUAUGAAGGAUGCAUCAAGCCCAGUCUCAUACAGACUCAGAGGGAAUGCUAAUAUUCAUCUGAUGGACAUGAAGCCCUCUAGCACAGCAGGUCCAACAGCACGAAGACUUGUUGGUUCUGAAUGCUCUAUAGCGAUGGAAGCUGGAUUUGGAGAUAACUUUGUCUUGAAAGCAGUUUUU